GAGUUUGAUCCUGGCUCAGAUUGAACGCUAGCGGCAGGCUAAUACAUGCAAGUCGAGGGGCAGCACGGUUAGCAAUAACUGGUGGCGACCGGCGCACGGGUGCGUAACACGUAUACAAUCUACCUUAAACAGGGGGAUAGCCUUUCGAAAGAGAGAUUAAUACCCCGUAAUAAAUUGAACGGCAUCGUUUGAUUUUGAAAGCUCCGGCGGUUUGAGAUGAGUAUGCGUCUGAUUAGCUAGUUGGUGAGGUAACGGCUCACCAAGGCGACGAUCAGUAGGGGACCUGAGAGGACUAACCCCCACACUGGUACUGAGACACGGACCAGACUCCUACGGGAGGCAGCAGUAAGGAAUAUUGGUCAAUGGAGGCAACUCUGAACCAGCCAUGCCGCGUGCAGGAUGACGGCCCUAUGGGUUGUAAACUGCUUUUAUACAAGAGAAAACCCUGGUACGUGUACCAAGUUGAUAGUAUUGUAAGAAUAAGCAUCGGCUAACUUCGUG
rnacentral:rRNA from 1 species